rnacentral:misc_RNA from 1 species
AAUUUUGGAAGCCUUGGAAAAAGAGGCUGCAGAGUCUUAUGAUGAAUGGUAUUCUUCAACCCUGAAGUUACUUAGAGAAGCCUCGCCGUUGAACCUGAAAGUUACAUUAAGAUCUAUCCGCGAAGGUAGGUUUCAAAGUCUCGACCAAUGUCUUGCUCGUGAAUACAGGAUAUCCCUCAACGGAAUUUUAAAGCAGGCAUCUCCCGACUUCUACGAGGG